rnacentral:pre_miRNA from 1 species
ACAACAUUCGGAUCGUCGGCCUACCGAGAAAUAUCCCACGCUCGGUGGAAGAUCUUCCCUCAGUCGU